rnacentral:lncRNA from 1 species
AUGGCCUCCGAGAUCCCGUCCAGUUUCAUCAAGGGCCGCGGCAGCUCCUGGAAACCGGCGGAGAUCGUGGACCUGCUGAGCAUCUGGGGUGCCGAGAAGGUGCAGCAGCAGCUCCGCCGCAGCCACCGCAACUUCGAGUGCUUCGUGGCCAUCGCGAGGGAGAUGCGGCGCCGCGGCCACAAGCGCACGGCCGAGGAGUGCCGCCGGAAGACCAAGGGCCUCCGGUUGGACUACAAGCGGGCGCUGAGCCUCGACGGGCCCGCCUUGCUGAGCGGCAGCAAGGCCAUCUGCCCCUACUUCGAGGAGCUGCACUCGAUCCUGCGCGGGGACCCGUCGGUGACGCCCAGGCGCCUGGGAAAGAGGCGGCCCGAGGCCGAGGAGGGGUCGGAGGCGGGACCCAGCGCCGCCUUUUCCCUCGGGCCCCAAGACCUUUUGCUGGACGAGCUGCCGGGCCUCGACGUGCAGGGGCACCGCGACCCCUCACCAAGCGGCGAUGAUGAUGGGGAGGGCGACCUUGACGCACAGGGCGGUGAUGCCCAAGGGGUUGACCGCAGCUCUCCAAAGGGAGUCGCCGAUGCGGAUGCUGGCGAAGAUGUAAAUAGCAACCAUAGCCCAGCCGAGGACUUACUAUUUGAAGCUCCGGUGGGAGAAGGGACAGGCGAGGAUAACAGCAACCACAGAGGAAGCAACGAACAGGAUUACGAUGUGGGCCCUCCUCCAAGACCUAUGGAACCCUCCUCUUCAGGUUUGCCGACUUGCGGCUUAGCAGCUUACCAGUCUCCAGCCACCAGACUUGCCGCCCUUAGGACCAAACGGAAGGGCUUUGGCCCACGGGAACUUGUGGAACGUGUUAUUCGGCACGCAACCACUGAGAGCCGGAGAGCAAGGGAAGCUGCCCAGGAGAUGGACCAAGCGCUGCUCCGACAGAGCACAGAGGAGCUCCAGAGAAUAGAGAGGGCAGAGCAAGAGUGCAGAGAGCAUAGGGAAAGGUUGCUGUCCAUUUUUGAACGUCAGACGGCCCUGCUUGAGGCCCUGGUUUCCCACUUGUGUACCAACCCGGGUGCCGGUGACCCACGCGCCUCCAACAGGACACAGCCUCAGAUGGGUUCUCCAAAGCGUGGUCUUUCCCCUCCCUGUGACCCAGAGAUGGCCGAGCACUGGCGCACAGCAAGUGGGGGGGACGUGAGUUUUGAUGUGGGGGUCGCCCACCCGGCCACAACCCCUCCUCAGACCUCUACCCUCGCAGCAGCAUGCCAAGAGCCUGAGACAGCCCACAAGGCACCGGAGAUAUUUUCCCCUUGAUCCCGUUACAGACAGGACAGUGAGGUUCUUUCAUGUUUUUAUACGUAAACCACCGUCUCCCAAGAAGUUAUAAAACCCAUUGGCACUUCUUAAAUAAAUUGGAUUAAAAAUAAAUGGCA